AUUGAACGCUGGCGGCAUGCCUUACACAUGCAAGUCGAACGGCAGCACGGGAGCAAUCCUGGUGGCGAGUGGCGAACGGGUGAGUAAAGUAUCGGAACGUGCCCAGUCGUGGGGGAUAACGUAGCGAAAGUUACGCUAAUACCGCAUACGAUCUAUGGAUGAAAGCGGGGGAUCGCAAGACCUCGCGCGAUUGGAGCGGCCGAUAUCAGAUUAGGUAGUUGGUGGGGUAAAGGCCCACCAAGCCGACGAUCUGUAGCUGGUCUGAGAGGACGACCAGCCACACUGGGACUGAGACACGGCCCAGACUCCUACGGGAGGCAGCAGUGGGGAAUUUUGGACAAUGGGUGAAAGCCUGAUCCAGCCAUGCCGCGUGCAGGAUGAAGGCCUUCGGGUUGUAAACUGCUUUUGUACGGAACGAAAAGGACUGCCCUAAUACGGUGGUCCCAUGACGGUACCGUAAGAAUAAGCACCGGCUAACUACGUGCCAGCAGCCGCCGUAAUAC
rnacentral:rRNA from 1 species